UACGUAGGUGGCAAGCGUUGUCCGGAUUUACUGGGCGUAAAGCGCGCGCAGGUGGCGCGUCAAGUCUGGUGUGAAAGCCUCCGGCUCAACCGGAGGAGGCCACUGGAGACUGGCGUGCUCGAGGUGGGUAGGGGUCGGUGGAAUUCCCGGUGUAGUGGUGAAAUGCGUAGAUAUCGGGAGGAACACCAGUGGCGAAGGCGGCUCACUGGCCCGAUACUGACGCUGAGGCACGAAAGCGUGGGGAGCAAACAGG
rnacentral:rRNA from 1 species